rnacentral:rRNA from 1 species
AAUAUUGGACAAUGGGCGAAAGCCUGAUCCAGCCAUGCCGCGUGAGUGAUGAAGGCCUUAGGGUUNUCAAGCUCUUUCAGUAGGGANGAUAAUGACGGUACCUACAGAAGAAGCCCCGGCCAACUCCGUGCGAGCAGCCGCGGUAAUACGAAGGGGGCUAGCGUUGUUCGGAUUUACUGGGCGUAAAGCGCACGUAGGCUGAUUGGUCAGUUAGGGGUGAAAACCCAGAGCUCAACUCUGGAACUGGCCUUAAUACUGCCAGUCUAGAGUCCGGAAGAAGUGAAUGGAACUCCUAGUGUAGAGGUGGAAUUCGUAGAUAUUAGGAAGCACACCAGUGGCGAAGGCGGCUCACUGGUCCGGUACUGACGCUGAGGUGCGAAAGCGUGGGGAGCAAACAGG